rnacentral:rRNA from 1 species
GACGAACGCUGGCGGCGUGCCUAAUACAUGCAAGUGGGACGCAAGGAAACACACUGUGCUUGCACACCGUGUUUUCUUGAGUCGCGAACGGGUGAGUAACGCGUAGGUAACCUGCCUAUUAGCGGGGGAUAACUAUUGGAAACGAUAGCUAAUACCGCAUAAUAUUAAUUAUUGCAUGAUAAUUGAUUGAAAGAUGCAAGCGCAUCACUAGUAGAUGGACCUGCGUUGUAUUAGCUAGUUGGUAAGGUAAGAGCUUACCAAGGCGACGAUACAUAGCCGACCGGAGAGGGGGAUCGGCCACACUGGGACUGAGACACGGCCCAGACUCCUACGGGAGGCAGCAGUAGGGAAUCUUCGGCAAUGGACGAAAGUCUGACCGAGCAACGCCGCGUGAGUGAAGAAGGUUUUCGGAUCGUAAAGCUCUGUUGUAAGUCAAGAACGUGUGUGAGAGUGGAAAGUUCACACAGUGACGGUAGCUUACCAGAAAGGGACGGCUAACUACGUG